AACGAACGCUGGCGGCAUGCCUAACACAUGCAAGUCGAACGAGACCUUCGGGUCUGGUGGCGCACGGGUGCGUAACGCGUGGGAAUCUACCCUUGGGUUCGGAAUAACAGUUAGAAAUGACUGCUAAUACCGGAUGAUGACGUAAGUCCAAAGAUUUAUCGACCAAGGAUGAGCCCGCGUAAGAUUAGCUUGUUGGUGGGGUAAUGGCCUACCAAGGCGACGAUCUUUAGCUGGUCUGAGAGGAUGAUCAGCCACACUGGGACUGAGACACGGCCCAGACUCCUACGGGAGGCAGCAGUGGGGAAUAUUGGACAAUGGGUGAAAGCCUGAUCCAGCAAUGCCGCGUGAGUGAUGAAGGCCUUAGGGUUGUAAAGCUCUUUUACCAGGGAUGAUAAUGACAGUACCUGGAGAAUAAGCUCCGGCUAACUCCGUGCCAGCCGCCGCCGUAA
rnacentral:rRNA from 1 species